rnacentral:lncRNA from 1 species
UCUCAGAGGCGUCGGCCCCUUGCCCUAUCCGUCUUCCCUGGGUCUCCUGGGGGAUUGGGCCAGCCGGGAGUCCCGGAGCUGGGCAAGUGUCCAGCCCCGGAGCCCGCCCACUGUCACGGAGCGGACUCCCGUCCAAUCAGACCCGGGUGAUGCCACUCCGGAGAUGAGAGUGGCAGGAAAUCAAGGUCAAGGCCCUGGUCACAAUGGGGCCAUUGUCGUUCUCCAGUCAGUUGACUUUCAAGCAGCCGUUCCCCAUCCACCCUUCACUCUUUCUCCCACCCCCACCCCCCGCCCCCUGUCAGGAAGUCACCCAAACCUAUUGCCUCCGUAUUAGACUCUGCCUGAAGGAAGCCGCUUUCUGGAUCCUACCCCAGACGCUGGAGGCUGGGCUGCUGCGGCAUCGUCUAUUAGGUCCACCAGGUGGCGACAGAGCACCACAUUUCUGAGUGCAGGGAGGGAGGCCCGGGGCUGGCGGCUCAAUCACUGAUCAGGGCGUGGGGGAACCCUGCCCUUCCUGUUUUAUCCAAGAGAAACAAAAAACCAAGUCAGAUUAUACUUUCCCUCACCCUUUACUCUGAGGUCACAGGAAUCUGGAAUCUUAGGGACUCUUCCCUUAGCAAACGGCAAAAUGGCCGUGGGUUGCAGCCCUAUUUUUUUUCCUUGAAUGGGGGUGGAAAACCAAGGGGAAACCUAUUUACUCCGGAAGUCACAGCAAGUGGAACCCUGACUGCCUCUCUAGCCUGCAUUAAUCAAUUGGCUGAUUGAUGGGUUGUGUUAGUGUAUAAACGUCACGUCUGAAAGGACUUCCCUGGUCCCCCAGUCUAAAUUAUGCCUUCCCUGUUCUCCCUCAGAGCCAGCUUUAGUUUUCCUUCUUUGCAUGUAUCCGUUUGUAACUGGACACAUUUGUUUGAUUAUUUUCCACUAGAAUAUACUCUGCGAGAGCAGGGACUGGGUCUAGUUUUGUUGCAUUAAUUUGUCCACUAAGGACAAUACAGUAGAGUAUCUGGCACAUAGUAGGUAUUCAGUAAUACCUAAUACUGAUAAUAUUAUAAACAUAAUAAAUGAAGGAGUGCCCAAUUGAGCAAUGCGGGUGGAGGUGGGCUUCUGGUCCCUGAGAAUUCAGCAUGUGUGAAUUCAGGUAGGCCCACUUAGCAGGCUGCACCUGGCCCAAACUAUCACAUUAGAGAGGCAGGCCCCAGAGGCAGAAAAGCUUUGAGGUUAAGACAUCUGGUCUGGGCUCUAGCCACCUGGCUUCACGAUCUCAUUGUCCCCUCAUGUGGUGGGCGACUUUGCACGCAUCAACCUUUCCGAGCUUGUCUCCUCAUUUGCAAAAUGGGGACAAACAUGGCAUUUAUCUUCUAAGGCCACUGUGAGGGUUCUGAGAGAGAAUUCAUGGAAGAUGCUUAGCCCAGGGCUGGGGACCCAGUAAGCACUCCGGGAAUAUUCGUCAUUACUAUUAUUACUAUUAUUGCUGCUGCUGUUGCUGCUACUACUACUACUGCUGCUGCUGCUGCUGUUGGAGAAAGAACCUUCACUGAGGCUGUAUAGCCCAAGUGCUCCAGGCAGGUACCAGCUGAGGUGAGGGGUCUGGGGCUGAGAGGAUAUUCCAUUGGUACCUGCCCCUUGGCAGUUCUCUGGGUUUGAUUUCUCUUAUCAACUGGUCCAGGAAGCUGAGGCUGGUAGGGCCUGUUCCUCUCUCCUGGUGGCAGAGGUCAGAUCUGUCUCUGCUGCAAUCGCUGCUGGGGGGACAUCCUCUUAGCCUUCCUGGGACACUGUGGGCCCAGGCAAGCCCAUUAGUUAAUUCCUUUGUUUAACAGGCAUGGUGCUUUACCAGGUCCUGGGGAUGGUGGUGAAUAGAGUCAUCUUCUCCCUGUUCACAAGAAGCACAUGGGGUUGGAGCACAGGGGGAGAUGUUAAUCAAAGCAAAAUGGGGGAAAAGGGCAUUUUUUUUUAACUGUGAUAGGGGACAGGGCCUGGUCUACGACAUUCCCUGAGGAAGUGACUUCUGGACUGGGAGCUGAAGGAGGAGGAAGAGGAGCUAUCCAAGAAAAUCCCUCCCUUAAAGCAACCAGCCCUGGGGAAUGCUGUGAUGACCCAACCGGUCCUCAGGCUCUUCCUGGCCCAGUCAAAUGGUCAGAUGGGAGAAGAUUAAAAACCAACACACCCUAAGUACACAGGCUCCUCCUGGGGUCUACUGCCCCCACUAGCGUUACCUGGACACAUAUACACACAAUGUCAAGUCGCAGCCCCUAACCCUGGCCCCAGCCCUGGGGGAAGAGGAAAAGUCUUAGGGAGGUGGCCAGGAGAAGUUGCCAUGGGUUCAAAAAGGCCUGGGAUGAAGGGAUCCUGGGAUGACUCCCUGGGGUCAGCAUUCUGGGUGGGAUAGGGUGCAAACCCGUGGUUCCAGGCAACCAGACGCACCAGCCACCAGCACGUCAGGGGAGCUGAGAGCAUAAGCUAUGUUAUCUGGGUCCUGGGCACGUAUCGCAGCUCUAAGGCUUGGCAGCUUUGGCAAAUUUCUUCACCUAAGCCUCAGUUUGCUUGCCUAUAAAAUGGGAGCAAUAAUAAUAACACCAACCUCAUCGAGUGUUUUGGGGGACUUAGUGAGAUAAUACACGAAACGUCCUGGCACAUAAUGGGCACUUGACAAACAUUAGUGUUAUUAUGUAUUCUUUCUUUUUUUGAGACAAAGUUUUGCUCUUGUUGCCCAGGCUGAAGUGCAGUGGUGCAAUCUCGGCUCACCGCAACCACCGCCUCCUGGGUUCAAGCAAUUCUCCUGCCUCAGCCUCUCGAGUAGCUGGGAUUACAGGCAUGUGCCACCACGCCCAGCUAAUUACAGGCAUGUGCCACCACGCCCAGCUAAUUUUGUAUUUUUAGUACAGACGGGGUUUCUCCACGUUGGUCAGGCUGGUCUCGAACUCCCAACCUCAGGUUAUCCACCCGCCUCAGCCUCCCAAACUGCUGGGAUUACAGGCGGGAGCUACCGUGCCCGGACUAUAUAUUCUUUUAUAUAGGCCUUUAUCUUUUAUAGCUCCUUUGUCACAGGAUUCUGCCAGUUUGGAGAUAAGGAACCUGAGACCCAGAGAGGUGAACUAACUUGCUUAGGGUCCCACAGUUAAAAAGCAGAGGAGUCGGGAUUUGAAGCCAAGUUUCUUUGACUGCAAAGCCUGUGCUCCUAGGAGGUGAGGGAGGGAAGAGAUCAGUGGCUGCCUGGGAAGAAGCUGGGCUCCUGUUCAGUCAUAUUUUCAUGGAUUCAACAGAUGGGUGUAAAUCUUUCUGGGGCUGAGGGUGGAGUACACAUCCUCUUUUUCUAAAUGUGGGAGUCAGGCAGGGCUCCCGCUGGUCCCAGUUGCCCCAGCCAUGAUGGAGGCAGAGCAAGCAGGAGUGGGGAGGAAGAGAAAGCCACUCGGGGCAGGGAGUAACUGAGUCCCAGGGGCUUGGAGUUGGGCUGAGGCCACUAACGGAGCCCUGGCAAGUCUUUCUUGCCAGCCUGAGCCACAAAUCUCUGCUCACUCUCACCCCUAGGAGUUUGUGGCGCCCCCUCCCUUUCCCACCUCAGCCUGGGACCCCUCCUUUCUCUCCUCCUCCCUCCUGAAUGCAGUAAUCCCAGCUAACAAAAGCGACCAUGGCUACUCUGACGUGUGGGACGACGAUGCUAGCCAGGCCGUGCCAGACCCCUCCAGGGAGCCUUGCUGACCCCUCCACGACUCAAGCUGCAUUGGCUGCCCCUCCGCUGCACUCUCCAAGUUCCCUGUGCUCCUGGAUCUGGCACGCAUUAUGCUGUCUCCAGAGUACUUGUGUUGCAAAGUGUCUGUCCCCUCUCAUCACUUCAGCUGCCUAUGGAUAGGGAUGGUGUCAUCUCUGAGCCUUGAUUCAUAAGACCUGCAUGGGGCAGAUGCUCACAUUGAAUGGACCAAUGAGUGGUGGUUACACUGUUUACCUGCGGGUGGAGUGGGGAGACUUCCUGUUAGCAAGUGCUUUUCCCACACUUGAGACUGCCUCUCUCCUCUCUAAGUCCUGGAUUUUAGGCCUCCUUCCCCUUCUACCCAAGCUCACCCCCCCUUGUCAUAACCUGAUGAGGGCUGAGGGAGGUGGUACAGGAGAUGAGUUAAGUGUGGGGCCACUUGCCAGCUAAGAACCCUUGACCCAAGUUUCCUUUUCUGGAAAACAGACAAUAACAGCACCUUCUUAGAGUGGCUAUAAGGACAUAACAAGCCCCUUCCCUCCCCCUGUCCACACUCAACAAGGGGCUCUAUUCUUUCCUGAAGGUCUGUGGUUGCCUCCGGAGGCUGGAGGGCAGCUCUGGAGUCUGGCUUGGCUUUCUAUUUGCAACCAUUCCAUAUCCCUUGUCCCCACCCCACUCCCUCCCUAGGGCCACACCUCUCCACAAUGCGGAAGCCAUGGGGUACUCUGGGAUUUAUGUCCGUGGUGUGUAGGGGAAACUCCUGGAACAAAUGAGCGGCUGUGCACGUGGUUGUGUUUGGUUUUGGACUCAGAGGGCACCUCUGGUUUUAUGGGUCUGUCCUUGGUCUUAUGCUGGCUGCCUGCCAGGUUCCAGGGGUCCACAUCCCUGGAAUCACUACCUAGGCCCAAGGUGGGGAGCAGAGACCGAUAACCCAGGUGUCUGGGGUUAUUAGCCAUCAGAAACAUGGAACCUGACAGCAGGAGAGUGGCCACCACUUUGCCCUGACAUCUGGAGGCCUUACUGCCCCACCCUCAGGUCAUCAUCCCCAAGGCCUGGCAGAUAUUUGUGUGAAGACAGAAGGAAUUUGGGUGAGGGCAGAGACCAGCAUGGCACCCACCCUUUUCCUCCAAUGCCCCUCCCUCUCCCAGCUCAGGGGCUUAGGAGUGUGGUAUGCAGCGGGGAUGGAGGGUAUGAACCCUAGAAGCAGACCGGCCUCAAUUUUAAUCCUAACUAGCUGUAUUGUGUGACCUUGGGCAAGUGACUCCAUUUUUCUGAGCCUCAUUUCAUAAGCUAUAAAAUGGGGAUAACAACAGCACAUAUCUUUUAGAGAGUUGUAAGGAUUAAACAAUUAAAUGGGAUUAAAUAACGAAUUAAUUUUAAAGGAUUAUAUAAUAAAAUUCAUGCAUGUACACAGUGAACAGUAAAUGGUAGUAUUACUCUUAUUAUCUGUCCCUUGCUGCGUUUCAAGCAUCUAUCCAGGAUACUUUAAUGUUGUCCAACCUAACAGAGUCUGAAUUUGUUUAACAUUUACAGUACCUUAGAGAGGAGCUCAGUGAGCUCAAAUGAGACGAGAAAGGUAGCCACUGGGUUCUGAGCAGGGUCUGCCACCCCUUUCUGGACCCCACCCCCUGCCCAGAGUGCCAGAUGGCCCAGCUGCUGUCCUUGCCUCUUCCAAAAGCUUGGGGAGGUCUUGCUGCAUCUUCCCAUGUGGGAAACUCAGGCAGGCAGGCAGCCCUGCCUACCAGGGACCAAAUGCACUGGCCUGGAGGCCAUAGGGUGUUCCUGUAACUAGAGAGCAGGGAUGGAAUGGGAUGAAUGCAGGGCCAGGAAGGUGAGAACAAGGAUCAUACCUUUGCUCGGUGCCACACUUCAGGCUUUCCAAAGAGGAUUCUCAAACUUUUCUCUCCACAGAAAUGGCUCAUGGGCAAUGACACCAGGAGCAGAGGAGGCCCCUUUUUCUGUGCUGGGGUCUCAGCACCAACCAGACCAGUGUUGUGGCCACCCUGAAUAUGGAGUGUCUGGCAGAAGGGAAGGCUUCUGGCAGAAGGGGAGGCCGAGAGACCCACAUCUGCAAAGGCCAGGGCCACAGGAAGAAAGCAGUGAUAUAAAGCACUUCCCAAAGUCCUAGGCUUGGGCCAAACUACGUAUAGCAACUCAAGGGUUAAUCCCCACCCCACCCUCAUCAGUCUCAUCCUAAAGAGAAAAGGAAGCAAAACAGAGACCACGGCUGCCUGAGGUGGCAGGCUGCCUUAUCUGUUGUGGCUGCUGCUGGAUAACCUGCGGCACUGCCAUGGGUACUUGUGUGCCAGCUGAGGGACAGGCAUUCCCAGGCGGGCCACCCUGGAGAUCCCCCCUGGUGAGAUCAAG